rnacentral:rRNA from 1 species
GACGAACGCUGGCGGCGUGCUUAACACAUGCAAGUCGAACGGAAAGGCCCUGCUUUUGUGGGGUGCUCGAGUGGCGAACGGGUGAGUAACACGUGAGUAACCUGCCCUUGACUUUGGGAUAACUUCAGGAAACUGGGGCUAAUACCGGAUAGGAGCUCCUGCUGCAUGGUGGGGGUUGGAAAGUUUCGGCGGUUGGGGAUGGACUCGCGGCUUAUCAGCUUGUUGGUGGGGUAGUGGCUUACCAAGGCUUUGACGGGUAGCCGGCCUGAGAGGGUGACCGGCCACAUUGGGGCUGAGAUACGGCCCAGACUCCUACGGGAGGCAGCAGUGGGGAAUAUUGCACAAUAGGCGGAAGCCUGAUGCAGCAACGCCGCGUGCGGGAUGACGGCCUUCGGGUUGUAAACCGCUUUCGCCUGUGACGAAGCGUGAGUGACGGUAAUGGGUAAAGAAGCACCGGCUAACUACGUG